CUUGUAUUUCCUCAUUUGUAAGUAACUUUGAAUAAAAGCGUUUGCUAAAUAAAUACAUGUAAAUGUAUAUGUAAAUGAGAGAGAGUUGCCCCUCCCCCACAGGGAAAACAACUGAACAUUUUUUUUCCUGCUGGAGUUCAUUCUCUCUCUCACAGCGCCAUCUGUGGAGUGGAGGAGCAGCAGCUCACAGCAAAAACUUGGGCAUCUGCGAGAAUGAAGCAACUGAAUGGAGAGGUCACCUCUGAUCUCCAGAUUGAACCACCCACGGAAGGAAGGAAGAAUAGAUCCAGGAUCUGAGUGGGAAAGAGACAAGAAGGUUUCAGAGGCACCACCACUUCCUGUUCCAGAGAGUUUGAGUCCAAGUUUUAUAAACUUGUUGGAAAAGACGCUGCGGGUCACCAUGACAACAAACAAGAUCAGCAGCAAACCAGCCACAGCCCCGAGGCCAAUGAACACUCCGGGCAGGACAGAGUUUUUUUCUGCAGCACAAGCACAGAGAACACCAGUGAGCCAAUGAUGGACACUUGAGAUUUUUGGAAUGAAUAGAAGACUUUGCAUAAAAAGGUGAAAGUGUAAAGAGACCGACAUGUCAAUAAAAGAAGUGUGAACUAAAUAAGAAAA